ACUUUCAAACCUCUGGUUGAAAGAAAUAUACCCAGUUCAGUCACUGCAGUAGAAUUCCUUGUAGAUAAGCAACUGGAUUUUUUAACUGAAGAUAGUGCCUUUCAGCCCUACCAGACGACAUAGACAGCCUAAACCCAGUUCUCAGGGACAACCCGCAGCUUCAUGAGGAAGUGAAAGUCUGGGUAAAGGAACAAAAGGUUCAGGAGAUUUUUAUGCAAGUCCUUAUUCCUUAAAUGGAUACAGAGUGAGAGUAUAUAGACAAGACUCUGCCACCCAGUGGUUUACUGGCAUAAUUACUCAUCAUGAUCUCUUCACCCGCACCAUGAUCGUUAUGAAUGAUCAGUACUAGAACCACAGAAUGUCGAUCCUUCUAUGGUUCAAAUGACCUUUCUAGAUGAUGUUGUUCACUCUUUGUUAAAAGGUGAAAAUAUUGGCAUUACAUCACGACGCAGGUCUCGUGCCAAUCAAAACGUCAACGCUGUUCAAGCCAUUAUACACGUGCCCAAGCAAAUAGUCCCAGACCAGCAAUGAACUCCCAAGCUGCUGUACCAAAACAGAAUACACACCAGCAACAGCAACAAAGAAGUAUCCGUCCAAAUAAGAGGAAGGGCUCAGAUAGCAGUAUACCAGAUGAAGAGAAGAUGAAGGAGGAAAAAUAUGAUUAUAUAUCACGAGGAAAAAUCCUAAAGGUAAAAACAAACACUUGAUGAAUAAAAGAAGGAAACCUGAGGAGGAUGAAAAGAAACUAAAUAUGAAAAGACUUCGAACUGACAAUGUUUCAGACUUUUCUGAGAGCAGUGACUCAGAAAAUUCAAAUAAGAGAAUAAUAGAUAAUUCCUCAGAACAGAAGCCAGAGAAUGAAUUGAAAAAUAAAAAUACUUCAAAAAUAAAUGGAGAAGAAGGAAAACCCCAUAAUAAUGAGAAGGCAGGAGA
rnacentral:lncRNA from 1 species